UAUCUGGUUGAUCCUGCCAGUAGUCAUAUGCUUGUCUCAAAGAUUAAGC
rnacentral:ncRNA from 1 species